rnacentral:lncRNA from 10 species
CUUAGGAGCACGUUCAUUGAAGGCUGACGCGUUAGGCACAAACAGGGAGAAAAUAUCUACUGGGGGAAGCUGAAUUGGUUUUAAUCAUCUGCUAAUCACCAGUAAUGAGACCUACUCUGGGGAAGAAAAGAAAAACAGAUAGUCAGAGGGAGGUUUUGUUCUUCACAGCAGAGUAACAUGGAAUGAGAGGGCAGCUGUUAUUAGGAAAGAAAGGAUAGAAAGAAAGAAGGGAUUUGGCCCUAGCAGAUGAAGCGUCCUCGGCGGCACUCUGUUUUGUUAGCCGAGUGUUCCUUUCAUUCAGUCCCUGAAACUUCAGAUCUUGCAGGCUCCCUGACAGCCCACCUCUACGAUAUUGCUUCUUGAAGAAAGGAACCUCCCCCUGUCACCUCGGCCUUUACAUUCGUUCCUGGAGCAUUUUACCAUAGCACUUUACACAGUAUUUUUGCUUGAGGAGAGAAGAAAAGGAACUAGCAAGGGGAGCUCUUGAUGGGUACCAAGGCAUAAAAAAAAGGGUGUGUGCAGGGGAGCGGGCAUGCAGAAAGUGCGGUGAGAGCAAUUGUGAUCCCUUGUCAUGGGAGGUAAGGCCCGACAAGGAAUUCAGGAAGGAAGAAUCAGUUGCAAAAUGGUCGGUCCCCGCCAAAUUGGGUAGACCGUCUUUUUAAGUCGCGGGCUCUGUGUUUCAGGAAACUCAAGUGUGGCUAGGACUUGGCUGCCAUUUUGGAUGCUGUUAUUUCACAGACCUUUUCUUCAAAGUUCCAAUUCUUGCAAUUGCUAAUAAUAUAACUGUGUUUCACACGGCGGCUUAGGAAUACCGUUCUACAUUGGACAGGUGCUCUCCAUGAGGAGAAGUUUAUAAUAUACCUGCCUGUAUAAUCUCUCUGGAGUAAUCAAUAUAUUCACGUAGGACUGAAUGAUUACAGGAGCUUCCAGGGCCACCGCUGACUCUUCCUUCUUAAGCUCUUGUAGGCUGAGCCAGGGGAAACCCAAAGCACAGCCACCCUGGGUUCCACCCUGGACCAGGCCCUUCAUCCUCAGCUUAAACGUCUUUCUCAGCUCUCAGCCAUCCUCAUACUGAAACCUAAACUCCUGGUACCUGGACCCACGUUGUCCUCAGUCUCUCCUUCCAGUCACCUGGCUUGGAUUCUGUUCAACAUGAGGGCUUGCUGUUUCCUGCAUGGCCUGGCCUGGCCCCAUGGUUUUGGUUGUUGGGAGAAUUAAGAAGAAUGGAUUUGGAAGGAUGCCUGAAUUGUUCACUAUCAGUAAUUCCUUGGCUUGAUAUUCCCAACACUAUUUUAUGAGAAAGCUGUUAACCAAUGUGAUGCUCGGAAGUAUACUACAUGUAUUGUCUCACUUCUAAAGAAUUAGUCAUCGGACGAUAUGCAAGGUAACAUUGCCAACCCUCCUCCACUGCAGUGAGGUGCGUUUCCCUGCGAUGAUUGCCACCAUCUGAAAUUUCCUUUCCUGCUGAUUUGGAACAUGCCGCCCCAUCUCCGUGCUUCAAGUUGUUCAAGAUGCGUUCGCAUGUGUGGUAGCCACACUGCUGCUUCCUAAAGUGUGCAAAUGAACGUGACAAUGCUGCCAGGAGCUGCCAGGCCCUUCCCCUCCGCAGAGCAGGUGCCAAUCACCCAUCCCACACAGCAGAGGCCCGGCCUCACAGCCCAGGGACACUGAACAUGGCGAAUGUGAGGAGGCCCUCCCAGGAGGCUCCCGGGUCGGCUUCUCCCUCCUGCGGCCCCCUCCCCUGCCAUCCCUCUUCUUUGAGGGGGCCUCAGGCCUUCAGAAUAUUUUAAUUCCUGAUUUCUGACUAUAUUAUCAUGUGUUUGUAACAGAUGAAUUGUCAUUUGUAGCUCAGAGGUGAUGUGAAAAACUGCCUGGAACCACAGGCCUGGUGUUGCAGCGGAGCAGGAAUUCUUUCUUUUCUGUGCGUUUUUACCUCUCCUUAUUAUUAUUUUUUCCCUUUCGCCCCUCCCUUCCCCUUGCUCCCUGCCUUUCCCCUCCUGGUGUUUCACAUAGUUAUGGAUAAUUGUCACCAUUUUCUUUUAUCGCAUCCAAAGUGGCGGCUUAGAGGGGCCUGGACUUGAGUCAGGACUAAUCUUGCCUUCUCCCAAAGUAGGAAAAUCCCAAGUCUUGCAGGGCCCAAUUGAUAACCCUUGUGCUUCUUUUCCAUGAAAGACGGAUGGCUCUGGCAAGCUUGGGAGACUGCAGAUAAUGGGAUUGACUUGGUACUUAAAUCUCAGUGAACCAGGACAGCAUAAGUAAUUAGUGAAUUGGAUCCAUCCUGGGGUGCUAAUGAUGGCUAAGUCUGCCCCCACGCCAUUCUGAAAACGACAAGAGGCACAUCCAUCUCACGCAGAUAAAAACCAAGGGGACACUGCUCACAGACACCAUUUAUUCCUUCUUUAGUGCACAAUUUAUCCUAGAAGGGAAAAAAAAAAUCUAAUUUUCCUCAAGUGAUACCCAGAAGACCAAGUGACCAGGCUCCCACCAGAGUUCAUUUUGAUCACAAUACUGCUCCUGUUUUUAAUUAAGAAAGGCUAAUUAAGAAAAACUCUACAUUUAUCUUCUUAUCUACUUGUCAACAUAGACUCUCAGACAUUACCUAUAUUUGUUUACAAUUUGGUUACUGGCUUUCUAUCAGUGAGCCGGUGAUGAUUCUUGGUUUAUAUCAAGGUCGGUAUAUUAUAAGGAUUUUGAUAGUGUUUUUAAGAGUUGAAUAAGCACAAAGAUAACUUUUAGCACAGAGGAUCCUAGUUUACACGCACACACAUAUGUAUGUAAAAUACUAGUUGCAUGAUGUGUCUUUAUGUUUUUCCUCGGUUAAUUCAAGUGGAAGGCAUGUGCGUAGAGUCUGGCCUUCUCGCUCAUUUUUCUUUUUACCCAGAGUGAUGGCACUUUAUCAGGAUAAUUUAGAUAAAUGUCUUUUCAUGGAGUUCACUUAUCCUUCCAGCAAACAUGAUCGACAAAAAGCCACGAAAGACGAAUGACAUUGCAUUUUGAUCAAACGUGUGCUCUGUCAAUGUAGGAGAAUCUCAAGGUGGUCAUGUUCCUUUUUUUUUUUUUCUUUUUUCCACCUAAUUUGAUCAACAUUCCCAACAAUGAAAACAUCCACAAAAUACAGUUCUGUGGAGAUGACCAGGGCUUCUAAGAAUGAAAAGUGAAAACCUGAAGCAAAUGGAUCUCAACUCACAAGUCAGCAGUAAUCCAACGUGCCAGCCUGACAAUUCUUAUGUAGAUUGAUCAGAAAUAAAUGCGACAGACUGCGUGUCUCCUUUCCCAGCUUUGUCAUGGCAAAAGGGCGCUACAGCCAAAAACAAGCUCUGCCUUUUUAGUCCAUUUGAGUCCAUCUCUUCUGCAGUGCUUGCUUGCCUUUCUUUGAACGUUUCAUUUGGGGUCCAGCUGGAGUUAUUACAGAUAACAAGAUAAGCCAAAAUAAUUGGUUAGUUAAGAAGGGUUCUUGAAACUAAUUUUCCUCCCUACUCCAUCUACCAAUCCAAUCCUUUUUUUGUUUUAACGUGAGGUUUCUUUGCAUGACCCUUAAGUUUCAUGAUUACUGGCUUCUUAGAAGGUAUGCUUGUGUCGGCACAUGGAACACACACAUCAGUGAGUUAUCAUAUCAAGGACUGAUUCCCCUGAGACCUUUCUUAAUAUUUAAUAUUUCAGGAGAAAGCUGAUUAGGCAAGCACUCCUUUUUCCCUCCCAAUCUGUAACUGAUUAGGUGGUAUUUAGACUUAUGCAGGAUGAAAGGGGACAGGCUCUCACUGAGGAGAGUGAGGAGUUUGAGGAAAGAGUGAAAUUUCGUUUCUUCCUGGCAUGCAUGAAGUUCUGAUUUGGCUUUUUCUAGAUAUGGACUUUCCUAAGUUUUAGUUUGCCUGAAAUUUGACUUUCACUUUUAAACUGGACUAGUUCUUAUCAAUAUUCAUGAUUCAAAAGUGUCCGUCUCCCUUGAGCAAAGAAAGUUCAUGUUGAUCAUAUGACUUUGCACAGAAGCAAUCUCAUGCGUGUGUUGAAUGUGUGUGUGACAGAUAUUUUUGAGUAUUGCUUGAAACAGUUCUUUUCACUUAUCAAUAUGGAGUUUUAUUCUUAAAAUAUUUUAUUAUCUUAAUUCAUUUCUACCUAUGGCAAGGAAUAAUGUUGACUAAUAAAUAACUACAGUUUUUCCAACUAUCGCUCCUCAUAUAAGUGUACGGUUUUAGAAUUCAGUGUACCAGCACAAUAAAAUUUUAAAAAUAUAUUUUAUAGUUAUUUUGAAAGAACUAGUGACUUGUUAAAAAUGUCAUUUUUAAAUUUUAAAUAUAGCAUUAUAUGCAAGAGGA